UGAAUUAUUGCCAGCUGGGGGAAAAGCAUCUCCAUUUCUCUAUUAUCUCUCCCCCUCUCUCGCGCUCCUACCGAAGUGUACUACCAAGUAGCAGCGACCUGAUUAUAUAGCACGGCAGGCCGGUCGUCGUCUCGUCUCGCCGGGAGAGGAUAGGCACAGGACAGGACGGAGAGAGAGAGAGAGAGAGAGAGAGAGAGAGAGAGAGAGAGAGGAAGCAGCUCAUCCCAGCCGGAGAACUGUCCAUCCGCCAUGAGCGACGGCCAGGGCAAUGCUCCUCCUGGAGGCUACUUCAUCGGCCGUCCAGCGAACACCGACGAGCCCAAGGAGAAAGAACCGCCGCAGGCCGUCCCUGAGCCUGCUCCAGCUGCGCUGAAUACUCCUGGCGAUUACUUCGUCGGCCGCCCGUCAAACCACGAGCAGAACACGGCAGCGCCGGCGGCUAAACCGGGCUUCUUGGCCAAAUUCUGUCCAUGCCUCGCCGGCGGUGGAGCCACCAGCUAGACCGACAAGCCCAGCCACCGUGCGCCGUGCGCGUGACCACGGGAGGAUUUGAAGUGGAAUCGGGUCCAUGAGUCUCAAUUCUGUAUUGGAACUGUGCGAGUUCUCUUCAUCUUUGGAAGCUCUGCUCUGUUUUUCUUGCUUUCUCUAGCAUUUGAUUCCUGCGUAUUCAUUCGUGUAAUGCCGACAGACGUAAACUCGACCAAAUUGCCACCCGUCCAUGUGAAAUGAAAAUGAUGUUGAUUUGUUCAAUUGUA